rnacentral:ncRNA from 19 species
UAUGAUAAGCAGGUAGACGGUUCUGAUGGGGGUCAGCCAUCAGAGGUAACGGGGAAAGUCUGGUGUAAGUCCAGCGCUGUCCCGCAGCUGUCAUCAAGGAUUUCCUUGUCAGUCAGAAUACCCGCCGACUCGUUAACUUCUGCU